AAUAGAGGGGCAUUGAACAGUGGGGAGGCUAGGGUUAUCAAAUCUGACAUCGAUCCCUAGCCUCCUCACUGUCAGAUGCGGCCACUAGG
rnacentral:pre_miRNA from 1 species